rnacentral:rRNA from 1 species
AAUCAACGCUGGCGGCGUGCCUAACACAUGCAAGUCGAACGAGAAAGCGGGGGCAACUCCGUGAGUAAAGUGGCGACCGGGUGAGUAACACGUGACUAACCUACCUUCGAGUGGGGGAUAACCUCGGGAAACCGGGGCUAAUACCGCAUAACAUCGUCGGGUGAAAUUCCUGACGAUCAAAGCAGCAAUGGGCUUGAAGAGGGGGUCGCGGCUGAUUAGCUAGUUGGUGAGGUAACGGCCCACCAAGGCAGUGAUCAGUAUCCGGCCUGAGAGGGCGCACGGACACACUGGAACUGAAACACGGUCCAGACUCCUACGGGAGGCAGCAGUGGGGAAUUUUGCGCAAUGGGGGAAACCCUGACGCAGCAACGCCGCGUGGAGGAUGAAGUCCCUUGGGACGUAAACUCCUUUCGACCGGGACGAUAAUGACGGUACCGGUGGAAGAAGCCCCGGCUAACUCCGUGCCAGCCGCCGCCGUAACAC